UUUACAUGUUAUACCAAAUUUGCAAUGCCCCGUUUUCAAAUAAUAGGUGCAUUCAAUUUCCCCCAUGCGUAAUGGAUAUCCAUAAGUAUUUAGUGGUAUAUUGCUCAAGCUUCCACCAAAGUUCCUAGGGUGGUGAAACUUGCAGGAUACACCAAAUUUACAGGUACCUGUUCUUAAAAAGUACUGGCAGAUCGGCUCUCCCAUUCUUUCUGGGAACUCAACUCCUCCCAACUGCAUCUUACCACCAGAACGCCGAUCACGAUCGCUCGGAUGGUUAAACCGGCAAUUAGGUCCAUAACCACAUGACCCAUUUCGCAAAUAAUACGAACAAUCAGGAACACCAGGCCUUUCUGGGUAUACCUCCCUUCCAAAUAACCCCAACUUCUGCAUUGAUCCCGUUUCUUGCUCCACUGAAACCCAUUCCGACUGAUGAUCAGAUUGUGACCCAUUACUCCCUGAAGACGGCCCAUACAGCUCCAUCUGUAUUUUUUUUUAGGUCUUCUUAGUAUGCAAUAAGAUGGGAGAAAAAGUGUACGACACACCAAGGAGAAAUUGCCAACUGUGGAAAAACGAAAUAGAGA
rnacentral:misc_RNA from 1 species